GUCUGCAACUCGACUACAUGAAGCUGGAAUCGCUAGUAAUCGCAGAUCAGAAUGCUGCGGUGAAUACGUUCCCGGGUCUUGUACACACCGCCCGUCACACCAUGGGAGUCGGGAAUGCCCGAAGUCAGUGACCCAACCGCAAGGAGGGAGCUGCCGAAGGCAGGCUCGAUAACUGGGGUGAAGUCGUAACAAGGUACC
rnacentral:rRNA from 1 species